rnacentral:rRNA from 1 species
AGAGUUUGAUCCUGGCUCAGGACGAACGCUGGCGGCGUGCCUAACACAUGCAAGUCGUACGAGGGCAGUCCUUCGGGGCUGACCCGAGUGGCGGACGGGUGAGUAACACGUGACCAAUCUGCCUUGGAGAGGGGGAUAACCUGGGGAAACUCGGGCUAAUACCGCAUGACGUGUCGUGCUCGCAUGGGCGUGACACCAAAGGGAGGCCUCUACUUGUAAGCUUCCGCUCUGAGAGGAGGUCGCGGCGUAUCAGCUAGUUGGUAGAGUAACGGCCUACCAAGGCUACGACGCGUAGCGGGUCUGAGAGGACGACCCGUCACAUUGGGACUGAGAUACGGC